GUAACGUACUUACUAUAUUAAACACCUCAGGUGGUGUUCGGGUCAUUUCGACCCGGUAAAAAUGUAUAAUUAAACAAUGUUAACGCAUUGAACUGAAACUUAGUGACUUUGUUCACAAAGGGUAUAACUACUUCUCAAAUGUUUUUGAGGAAAACUGAAAUUAAAUGAAAAUUUGAUCAGUCUGUCAUAGAUCCAUGAGGAAAAAUGAAAAGCCACAUGAAUUGAGAGUAGGGUGACUAGGGUCAAUGUUAGGGUAAUGGUUAGGCUUGCUGAUAAGUUGCCCAUAUCAGCUAAUAAGUAGCAUUAUCUAAAUGUGGUUUAGUCUCUGUCUACUGUUUAUGGGCAUGAAUGAGUAGGCCUACAUUUUAACAUAUGUGCCUCUCAUCUAGAAUACACUAUGCUUUUAUUAGUUAUAUUUUCCUCUUACUAACAGUUUAGCUCUUGAGAGAUAUUUGUCAUGUAAGCUUCUAUUUCUCCUUAGAUGGUGUUAAAACACUAGAAACCUGUGAUUUUGGCGAGUACCCACUGCUCCUGUGUGGCGGGGUGUGCCUUAUGCAACCAUUUGGUUGCACUACUGUAUCAAACAGCCCACUUUUCUCAAUUAAACAUCCCUGCUGUACCCCCAGUGCACAGUUGCACAGACACUGAGCAGAUCUGGCAUAAACCAAGGACCUUGGGUGUUAGGCCAGGUCCGGUGGGUGACAUGGAGGUCCGCAAACCCAAAAAUUCAACCGCGGUUUGUGUGAGAAGUUCUCUCUACAAAGCACUGGACGGGGAAAUGCCAGAUCUAGCCACAUUAAGAGUGGCAGAGGUAUACAAGCACUUUCCUCCUUUGCUUGCACCUCUAGUGACCACCAUGGGCAUGUCAGCAGAAGACCCAUUAGUUUAUUCAGCUUAUGGGGCUGUCCAGGCAGGGAGUGUGCUGUCAUUCCAGCUAAAACCACCAGAAAUGCGGGAAAUCAUCAACAUCCCAGGCGCCCCUGCCCAACCUUCUAUUCCCAUCCAAAGCUAUAGGCUUGAGCCAACCACAUGCGCUUAUGUGUUCUCAGAGGAGGAACAUGUAUAUAUGAAAUCGCUACAGGUGUCAUUCAACAUGGCCCACAGGGUUGAAGCUGCAACACGGGAGCAGAGCUCAUGCCAGGAAUGGCAUCGACUGAGAAAGAUGCGAGUCACAUCUACACGCUUUCACGAGGCAUGCCAUGUUCGAUGUCAUACAUCUGCUGAAAAUCUGGCACAGAGAAUUUUGAGGGGGACUGUCAUGACAAAGAACGUGAGGAGAGGAAUCGAUAUGGAGCUAGCUGCCGUGACAGAGUACUGCAGUUUAAAAAAUGUGAAUUAUUCACCCUGCGGGUUCAUUAUACACCCUGAUGCUCCAUGGCUGGGUUGUUCUCCCGAUGGAGUCGUUUUCGAUCCUUCUGAUAACCCACCGUAUGGCCUGCUUGAAAUAAAAUGCUUCAACAUCCAGAGUUAUGUUGACUGUCCCUAACUGAAAAUGUCGGAUGGUUCUUUGAAGCUUAGGAGGCAGCACAAGUAUUACUGGCAAGUGCAAGGUCAGAUCCUCCUAACAGGUUUAGAGUGGUGUGAUUUUGUUGUAUGUGCGCAGGAGGACAUGCUUGUUGAGCGUAUAUACAAAAAUAGCGAUGUAAUGCGCACCAUUAGAGACCGAGCAGAUCUGUUUUUUUUUUACCACUACCUACAGAAGUGUUUGCAUGUUUAGGUAAUUUUUAGAUAACCAGUG